rnacentral:rRNA from 1 species
UGAAAAUAGCCCAAUACGUAUAGUACAGCAGUGGGGAAUAUUGGUCAAUAGCCUAACGGCUGAACCAGCAAUUUGGGAGAAUGAGGUUGGUAACAUGACAAGUGGGGCCAGAGAAUAGCUAUGCAAGAUGAGCUAUUUUCUGGCGGGGAAUCGGCUUAGUCGAAUAAAGUUCUAGAUAGAAUAGUGAUUAUGACAAUUUUCUAUCUAAAUGUCUUGACCAAGUCACGUGCCAGCAGUCGCGGUAAUACGUGGAAGACUAGUGUUAUUCAUCUUUAAUAGGUUUAAAGGGUACCUAGACGGUAUUUCUAGCCCCAAAAGGGUACGGAUUUACUAGAGUUUUAUGUGAGAGGCAAAUAUUAGUACUAUUGGUGUAGAGAUGAAAUUCUUUGAUACUACUAGGACUGGUGGCGGCGAAAGCAACCCUCUAAGUAUAAACUGACGUUGAGGGACGAAGGCUUGGGUAGCGAAUAGGAUUAGAUACCCUAGUAGUCCAGGCAGAAAAUUAUGAGUGCCAUAGACUAGAUUAAAUAAUUUUGGUCUAUAAAUGAAAGUGUAAGCAUUCCACCUCAAGAGUAAUGUGGCAACGCAGGAACUGAAAUCAUUAGACCGUUUCUGAAACCAGUAGUGAAGUAUGUUAUUUAAUUCGAUAAUCCUCGAAAAACCUUACCACAAUUUGAAUGUAAUACAUGUAAUCUAAUAAUUGUCUAGUCAACAAUU